UACGUAGGGUGCAAGCGUUAAUCGGAAUUACUGGGCGUAAAGCGUGCGCAGGCGGCUUUGCAAGACAGAUGUGAAAUCCCCGGGCUUAACCUGGGAACUGCAUUUGUGACUGCAUGGCUAGAGUGCGGCAGAGGGGGAUGGAAUUCCGCGUGUAGCAGUGAAAUGCGUAGAUAUGCGGAGGAACACCGAUGGCGAAGGCAAUCCCCUGGGCCUGCACUGACGCUCAUGCGCGAAAGCGUGGGGAGCAAACAGG
rnacentral:rRNA from 1 species